rnacentral:lncRNA from 1 species
GUCCAGAGGCCCCUGCUCCACACCUGGGUACCCUGGGUCCUGACUCAGGGCAGCUGGGUGAGAAGCUAACGGCUUGAAGGAACAGGGCUACAAGGGGAGUUUGUGCUGGGCCUGGCGUCCCAGGCUGUGGACUGGAACUGGACAUGAGAACCCCCCCUACACCCUCCCAAGUCAAAGACACUCCAAAAAGACAGUUUCUCCACUUUAUUAGCCUGGAGCUCCUCCCUGCCAGCCCCAGGGGCUGGUCGCUGGUCCCUGGGCACAGUGAGCAGGGCUGAGGUCAGACGGGUUCGGCCCUUGGCCAUGGCAGCUUGGUUGGGACAGCCGGGCCAAGGGAAAAAAAGGUGCAAAAGUCCAAAUGCUGGCACUUCAGGUGUGGCCGGCACCCAGCCAGGCGCAGUGGGUGGGCAGGGCGCCAUGCUUCUCUCCUGGCGACAGGUCGGCCGUGUAGCAGCGCCCCCUCCCAGCAGCCACUAGGAACAGCUGGUGAUUCUCGCCAGGAACUGCUGCGCCCACCACUCGUCUAGGUCAAUGGGCACAAAGUCUGUGGGCAGAGAAGGCUGGGCAGUGAUGCUGCCUCCCAGGCCAGCCGGCAAGUCUCCCCUGGAGCUAACCACAAGCCGCUCACCCGGACUCCGAGUGCGGCAGGCGCUGGGAAGAAGGGGUUUCUGCACAAGAGUCCCCUCCCUCAUCCCCUGGGGUGGGAACCUGGCAGGGCCUGGGUCAGGAUCAGAGGGGCUGGGGGGUCUCUCCUGGGGGGACAGGGUUGGGGGGCUCACUCUGCAGCCGGGGAUUGGGGGUCCUCUCCACGUACUGCACAGGCCUUGGCCCGCCCUCACCGGCUGGGCCACCAUCCAGCUGCUGUUGCACCUGCUGCCAGGCUGUGGGAGGAGGGCAGUCGGGCUGAGCCAGGUCCCAGGCACCCCAUCGCCCACCCAGGGCCUGAUGGUCACCCUGGACUCCAGCCCCACACAGGGCUGGUCACAGGACACAAGGGCAGAGUGCCAAGGAAAAGCACAGCCAUGCAGCGGCUGUGGGUCAGCUUGAAGUGGGGCCAUCCCGGGUCCAUGGUUUUGCGACCCAGCAGCCUAUGCCGCACCCUCUGGCCCCGCUCGCUACCUUCGGACACAAAGCGGACAUUCUCCUCGUGGGCCACUGUGUAGGUCUCCUGGGUCCCCUCGAAGGAUGGGGACGUGGAGGGGGCCCGCCGGCCAUUCACACGAUUGAACACAAGCCUUGGCCCUGGACUGCAGGAAGGGAGGAGACGGACAUGGUUGGUGCCCAUCCCAGGUGCGGUGCUGCCUGGCAGAACUCAGGAGCAGCCCCGGGCCAGCCCACUUUCCCCAGACUUGGCCAGCCUAGGCACUUCCUGAACCAGAGAGAGCAGCCACCCACAGCAGCCGGUGGCCCAGGCCUCUCUUGCAGUCCCCAAGCCAUCGGCAGCUCAGCUCACACCUGCAGCCCUGUGUCCUGAGGGAAGUGAGUGACUGUAGGGUGGGGGCCUCAGUCUUAGAGUGUCCCAAACCUUUGGUCGGGCCCCACUCAGUACCCCUCCCCGAGGGUCUUGCAGGUGCCCAUGCUGCCACCUGCAUCCCAUCAGCAGCCCAGAUUCUGACCUGAGCCACGACCCAGUCCAUGACCAUGUCUCUCUGCCCCAACCCCCCCACUCUGGGUGUAGUUCUAGGCCACAUUCUCGCCCCACAGAAGCACCUCCAUCUCCACGAUGUUUCCCUCCAUGGACGGAUGGACCUGGACGGGAACGGGGGCCUUUGCCCUCUCCCUGGCUGCCCCCACGUCCCAUGGGAUGAGGACUGGGUGCCGGGAUGGGCAGUCCCUGAGUCGGGAGAGUGACUAUAACCCUCGCCCACUCCCCACCGGCCCGAGACAAGGGGCGAUGCCAAAGGAGAUGGCUCCCGCAGUGCCGCACGCAACGUCUGGUGGGCCCCUGGGCCCGUCCCGGCCAGCCGGGCCCAGGGCAGGGAUGAGCGGCCCCAGCUGGCCGAGCCCUGAGCACACAAAGCCCGGGACAGGGCCGUGGAGGGAAUGGGGCCGCACCUACAGCCGGAGGUGGGAGCCGGGAGUCCUGGGCUGCGCCUGCUCCGCCAGGCACUCGCGGUCCCGGCCGGCCUGUUGCCUUCCUGGGCUCAGGUGCCCCAGCGCCGCUCUCGGUUCCUCCUCAGCUGAGAGGGGCACUAAAAUAAAGAGGAGUGUCUUGAGGGGCGCAGGGUCCUGCCGGCCCCAGGGCUGGCAGGGUCUGGUGGCCACAGAGGAUCUUAAAACGUGCAGGUGGAGAUGGGACAGGGGCAGGGGCACCUCCCAGGCCUGCCCGCUGCCUGAGUUUCUGCACAAACCACAGGGAAUAAAGUUUGUCCACUUGGAAAGCCCCCUUGCCUGCAACCCACUCCCACCUCGGAAAGCCAGAAACUCCAAGAAAGCUUGGAGGUUGGAUUAUCAAUGUCUAAGAAGACAAGAACAUUGCCAGGGGCUGUGAAUCGAAGGGCGGAGGUGGCGGCUCUCGGGCAGAGAUGGGCCCCAGGAGGCAGGCACCGCCCCAGGGGCUCUGGUUACGUAAGGCUGCUGCUCUCUGGGGGAAAGGGCACCGGCCCGGCGAGCACCUAUGGAUCACCGCCAACCUCUCCCACUUCCAGGGACACUGCUCCGGGCAAACUUCAGCCCAGGGAGGUGAAGGCUGUGGAGUGCAUCCUCUCCUCUCCCCUCCACAGCCCAUCCCUUUUUCAGCCCAUGAAGCUGGGCUUGGGAGAGAAUCCACCUGAGCAUAUUACAUGCUGGGUGGGGGCAGCACCAGGAUAUCAUAGCAAAUCCAACAACAGAGUCCAUGGCCCUGACCCAGUACAGCCCCCAAGCCAGCCCCUCAGCCUGCCCUCACUGGGCCUCCCCACCCCCGUCUCUUGCAGGCUGCCCCUUCUCGCCCUGUGGGGUUCAUUCCAUUGUCCCUUCCUGUGGCGGUCCCCACACCCUCCAUCUGCCCUGGGGUCGGGUGAUCACAUGGCCCCGUUUCAUCUUAUUACUUAUAUCGCCUCAGUUUAUCUUACUGCCUCCCCUAUCCAUCUCCCACCAGGAGGAAGAACUUGUCAAAGGUGUAUCUGGGCUGGGCGUGGUGGCUCAUGCCUGUAAUCCCAGCACUUUGGGAGGCCGAGGCGGGUGGGUCGCCUGAGGUCAGGAGUUCAAGAUCAGCCUAGCAUACGUGGUGAAACUCUGUCUCUACUAAAAAUACUAAAAAUUAGCCGGGCAUGGUGGCGGGCACCUGUAAUACCAGCUACUCCGGAGGCUGGGGUGGGAGACUCACUUGAACCUGGGAGGCGGAGGUUGCAGUGAGCCAAGAUCACGCCACUGUACUCCAGCCUGGCAACAGAGCAAGACUCUGUCUCAAAAACAAACAAAGGUGGCCGGGCGCGGUGACUCACACCUGUAAUCCCAGCACUUUGGGAGGCCGAG